AUACAUUAGCUAUGGCAGUACAUAUUCUGAAAUUGGAAUGAUACAGAGAAGAUUAGCUACGGCAAUCCUGCACAAGGAUGAAAUGCAAAUUCGUGAAGCAUUCCAUAUUUUU
rfam:Octopus bimaculoides Scaffold74238_contig_9, whole genome shotgun sequence.